rnacentral:misc_RNA from 1 species
AAGAAAAAAAAAAAAAAAAAGAUUUUAUGUGUAAAAAUUGUUAGCUAUGGACAAGAUUGGACUUGUUGGGACAAUCUAUGUACGGAUGUUAGUGUCAUGACCUUUUAUUUAUUUGUUUUUCUAAAGAGCUCAGUUUUAAGCUUCAGUAUUGGAUGUUUGGGUCGUCUAGUCAUUCUCUUCUACUUGCGUUGUGCACAAAGGAAUGCACUUCUUGUUGAUGCUUCUUAAAAUGACAUAGGGAAAAAAAAAAA